UCUUCUUCCCCCAAGGUUUUGUUCAAACGAAGAAAAUUAUUUAUGGGAGAAUUUGUUGAUUAUGUUCUUUUUAUGUUUGAUAAAAGUUCAUCUAACCUACUUUUGUGCUUAAAUCAAAAAUUUUAAAAAAUCCAAACAUUGCCAAUCUUCCCCAUCGAAAGGUGCUCUUGGCUUCUAGUCCAUAUGUAGCUUUUGCACCCCAUAGCGAGUAUAGCAAUCUAUUAGCUUGUUGGCUCAUGCAUAUGGACAAACUUUAAUUAUUGUUUAGGUUGUUGGCUCAUGCAUAUGGAUAAAUUUUAGUUAUUGGCUACAAUUGCAAGGCAAUCUCUUGGACCUUGUUUGAUUGUGAAUUAUUUACCAUGGAAGAAAUGGUAUACCCUUGAAUGAAUUACUUUAUAUGAUUUAUUUUAGGUGAAAAAAUGAAAUUGAUGAGCCCCCCUUUUUUGGUAACCAGGCUUCUUCUUUUUUUUGUUGUUGCUAAGGUGGACAUGUCCAACUACAUGAGUUCGGACGCACCCAAUAAAGUCAGAAAAUAAAACAUCACGGAAUGUUUUGGGCAAAUCUGCAUCCCGAGUCCACAAAGU
rnacentral:lncRNA from 1 species